GAUAUGAGAGACAGUUAAAAUAGCCAAGGAGACUGCCUGGCACCUCUUAGAGAGCAUGAAUAGACAAACCACUCACCACUCUCUUUAAACAAAGAAGCAGGCAAGUCAUCCUUGGCUACUCAACUUAUGACUCUCAUUU
rfam:Beta vulgaris subsp. vulgaris Bvchr3.sca003.con0069.1, whole genome shotgun sequence.